GAUGUAGAACGCAGCGAAAUGCGAUAAGUAGUGUGAAUUGCAGAAUUCAGUGAAUCAUCGAAUCUUUGAACGCACAUUGCGCCCCUUGGUAUUCCAUGGGGCAUGCCUGUUCGAGCGUCAUUUGUACCUUCAAGCUCUGCUUGGUGUUGGGUGUUUGUCUCGCCUCUGCGUGUAGACUCGCCUCAAAACAAUUGGCAGCCGGCGUAUUGAUUUCGGAGCGCAGUACAUCUCGCGCUUUGCACUCAUAACGACGACGUCCAAAAGUACAUUUUUACACUCUUGACCUCGGAUCAGGUAGGGAUACCCGCUGAACUUAAGCAUAUCAAUAAGCGGAGA
rnacentral:misc_RNA from 1 species